GUCCACGCUGUAAACGAUGGGCACUAGGUGUCCGGGGUAUUGACCCCCUGGGUGCCGCAGCUAACGCAUUAAGUGCCCCGCCUGGGGAGUACGGUCGCAAGAUUAAAAACUCAAAAGGAAUUGACGGGGGCCCGCACAAGCGGUGGAGCAUGUGGUUCAAUUCGACGCAACGCGAAGAACCUUACCUGGACUAGACAACAGUGGAUCGUCCUAGAAAUAGGAUUUUCCCUUCGGGGACCGCUGGUUCAGGUGCUGCAUGGCUGUCGU
rnacentral:rRNA from 1 species